rnacentral:rRNA from 1 species
AACGAACGCUGGCGGCGGGCUUAACACAUGCAAGUCGAACGAGUGGCGAACGGGUGAGUAACGCGUAAGAACCUGCCGUUCAGAGGGGGAAAACAGUUGGAAAGGAAGGCUAAUACGGAAUAGGGAAGGGGGGGUUGGGGGGGGAGUAGCUAGUUGGAGGGGUAAAGGCUUACCAAGGCGACGAUCCGUAGCUGGUCUGAGAGGAUGAUCAGCCACACUGGAACUGAGACACGGUCCAGACUCCUACGGGAGGCAGCAGUGGGGAAUAUUGGACAAUGGGCGAAAGCCUGAUCCAGCCAUGCCGCGUGUGUGAAGAAGGUCUUCGGAUUGUAAAGCACUUUAAGUUGGGAGGCGUUACCCGCAGAAUAAGCACCGGCUAACUUCGUGCCAGCAGCCGCGGUAAUUC